rnacentral:lncRNA from 1 species
AGUUCAUCAGAAGGACUAACAUCUAAAAUGUCAAAUCAAAGACACUCAUCUUUUCAUGUAAGAACGCCACCAAAUAUGCUUGUACAUGUCCAAACUGAAUAUCAACCAUAUCAAGCUCACCAGUCUGAAAUGGCUUACAAAGAUCCUUAUCACUACCCCCAACUUGCUUGUCUAACUUACAGAAUAAAAUUAAAAUAAGUACCCACAACUGAUAACCGGCUAGGUUAACCACUCACAAACUUAACCAAAACUGAUAUUCUGCUGAGACAAUGGACCUUCAAUUGAUUUCAGGAUUCAGCAUUCCAUUGUUCAAACGCACCCUUAACGCAAUUCCCAAGCUAAAUCAGUGUGGUGCACUACGGAACAAGGCUGGACCCUUUGAAUUAUAGAUGCAAUCCAUCAGAUAAGUUUCUACCAUUCUUGCCAAUUCAAUUUCACUGACAAGACACUUUCCAAAAGGUCAUACAGUGGAUUAGAAUCUCAGACUUCAUGAUGGUGAAGCAAACUUCACUAACAUAUUAAAUGCAAUAAUUAAUUCAGUUAAUUGGAUGAUAAUAUUAUAUCAUCUAUGAUGUUUACAACAAAUUUAACCCUUUACCUUUCCCACAAGACUAUUUCCCUGAAGAUCAUACAUCAUAUAUGAUACACAAUCACAAUAUUUUUCCAACCUCCAGAGUAAUUGGAACUUAUGAAAUGAAAGCUUUAUGUUACUCAGAACAUAUGAAACAAGGACUAACUAAAAGUCUGAAAACAAACAUGGGUAUUAAAGACAAACUUUUGAAAAUGCUUUGGAUAGGUAAAGGUUAAAUAUCCAAAGUUUGAGAUGCUGGCAAGAAUAGCUAAAAAAAACCAAUACCUCAAUGACAGAAUGUGAAAGCAGGUCUUUGUUCAAUUAACCUGCUAGAAAUAGCAAUGAAAUCUACAA